GCGGGAAUAGCUCAGUUGGUAGAGCAUAACCUUGCCAAGGUUGGGGUCGCGAGUUCGAGUCUCGUUUCGCUCC
rnacentral:tRNA from 1 species